CCCCUCUCAGGUUGGUACCUGGAGAGUUUCUGGUGCUCUACCAGUCUCGACUAAGGUAGGGAGAGUCAAGCAGAGGCCUACCCAUUCCAUUCCCAGCUUGGGCAGCGGCUAGCAAAUGGAAGGCAAUCUGCUACAAGU